AAGAUGGCGGACGAGCAGCUGCAGCAGCUCCGUGCGGUGCUACAGGGGGAGGGGAAGGUGGUUUCUCCUGACACAAGCUGGAGGCCGGAGCCUGUGGCACCCUGGCUUGCCUCACUGAAGCUGGUGGCUGUGACAGGGACUGCACGGCUGCUGGAGUGGUAGAAAGGCAGCCCAGGUAGGAAGCCAUCAUUCUGUAGAAGGCAGUGACGGAACAGUACCAGCAGAAAUUGAAGGACCAGCAGAAGGGAUCAUGGCCAAAGUUGCAGUGUCCCCCCGCUCGUUGAAGAUGAGGAGUUCUCAGAGAGCGGGAUGUUUGUGACAUUCCUCAUGUCAGCUCUCGAGUCCAUGACUCUCACUCGGUCGUCCAGGCUGGAGUGCAGUGGCACCAUCUUGGCUCAUUGCAACAUCUGGCUCCCAGACUGGGUUUCACCAUGUUGGCCAUGCUGGUCUUGAGCUCCUCACCUCAGGUGAUCCACAUGCCUCAGCCUCCUAAAGUGCUGGGAUUAUAGGCGUCAGCCACCGCUUCUGGCCUAGAUCAUUAACAUAUCACUAUGAUACUAAAAUUCCCUCUGCCAAAGAAAAUCUUGCCAUUUUGUGACAUGAGUUGUAUAAAGAUGUAUGUUUAUAUGCACUGAACCUGUGCACCUAGAGUUCCACCCUGCUCAUGCUAACGUUGUUCUCCCUCCCCGUACCUAGUUCUUAAAAACUCCAUGCCUUCCAUUUUUCAGGGAAAGGGUGUCUUUAGAGCAAGAACUCUUUUCUUCUCCAUCCCAGGCAGGGAAAAAACCCACUUGGCCUUGUUUCUGAUUGGGUUUUCUUGCUUUGCGACUAAUACAAAGCAGGAAAAAACUCCCUUUAUCAGUGAUAAAAACAAGUAAGAUUAUUAUUUACCCACCUAUUCUAGCUAGGGGUCAUGGGUGGCCGGAGUCUCUCCUAGCAACUCAGGGCGCUAGGCAGAACCAGCCCUGGAUCUGGAAUAGGGUGCCAUCAUAUGGCAGAGUGUACAUACACACACACACACACACACACACACACACACACACAGAGCUCAAAUGGGGACUAUUUAGAAAUGAUAGUUCACAUAAUGGGCACAUCUUUGAGAUGUGGGAGGAAACUGGGAGUACCCAGUGAAAACCCAUGUGGACCUGGGGAGAAUGUGUAAAGGACACACAGGAAGUGGCCAGCUGGGAGUUGAUUGUUUUUUCUUAUCAACAUUACAAUGAAAUGAUACUGAACGAAAUGACAUUAUUCAAGUACCUGCUGUAAUAGUCAGACUCCUUCAUAUAAAAUUCAAAGCCCUCUACACUCGGGCACUACAUUGGACUUCCAUCCUACACCUACAUUCUAGCCACUGUACUACACAUCAUUUACCAAAGGCGCUGUAUACUUCUGUGCUACCAAACAUUUGCCAGUCUGGUUCCCUCUGCAUUUCAAGAUUACACACCCCUCAUAAUCCUGCAAAGCCUUUCGUAUCAAUUUUUCUGUGAAGCUUUUCAGAAUCCACCACCACUCCCACCAUCACCCCAACUCCCUGAGAGGGCAGAUCUCUCUCUCCGUUUGGCAGCCACUUUUAAUAAAGCAUUUUUCACUGAUACUAUGAGUCUGCCUUCUCCUUUGGGAAACUUUCUCAGACUCCCAUACCCAGAGUUAGGCACUCCAUAUUUGCCCACCUUGGUCCCUGGUAUGUAAUUCUACUCCAGCAUAGAACAGAGAAGCCAGAAUCAUCUUUCUGUAAAAUUCUAUCUUCUGUUAGACCCUGUGUCCCUUGAGGAUAUCAUUCAUCAUUGUUUCCCCAGGGCCUUGCACACCUUACUCUGGGCCUCCAGCUUAGCCUGUUUCUAUGCAGGCUGCCCAUGGCUGAUGCCAACCAGUCCUGUCCCUCUAUAUCCAAGCACCAGACUUCCUUACUGAUCCUUUGCAAUUUCAGACCCUCCAUCACCCUCCUGUAUCCUGCUGGAGAUUUUGGAGCAUCUCAGCAUCUCUGGGGCAGCUCGCGGACAUCAGGGAGGGGCAGGCAACAAAGCCCACGUAGACCCUUACAGCUUCUUUUAGCUCUCCCAGAACUCUCCACAUUGAUCCCACUCUGGCUACUAGCACCAGCUGGACAGUAACGACUUUCAGAGGUGAACACAAUGUGCUUCAACAUGCCUUCCUGAAAGUUCAGUUAGCAACUGGACAGCAUCUGAAUUCCAGUUCUGCAAAGCUCUUCUCUGAAUACCUGAGGUACCAGCAUGAUCCUGGCACUGCCCCUGCCUCCGCUGUCUUGUCUAAUUCUAGCUCUCUGGGGCCACUCUUGUGAGUUUCUAGGUUCCGAGAACCUUAAUCUUUUCCAUUGUUUCCCAGCCCUAGACAGGUAGCUGCUACCUGA
rnacentral:lncRNA from 1 species